rnacentral:rRNA from 1 species
UACGGAGGAUCCGAGCGUUAUCCGGAUUUAUUGGGUUUAAAGGGUGCGUAGGUGGCUUGUUAAGUCAGGGGUGAAAGACGGUAGCUCAACUAUCGCAGUGCCCUUGAUACUGAUGGGCUUGAAUGAACUAGAGGUAGGCGGAAUGUGACAAGUAGCGGUGAAAUGCAUAGAUAUGUCACAGAACACCAAUUGCGAAGGCAGCUUACUGUGGUUUUAUUGACACUGAGGCACGAAAGCGUGGGGAUCAAACAGG